rfam:Myotis lucifugus cont2.24636, whole genome shotgun sequence.
GGCCAGGUAGCUCAGUUGGUUAGAGCAUUGUCCUGAUAUGCCAAGGUUGUGGGUUCCAUUCCUGGUCA